AUAUUUAUGAUGGCUCGUGUCCUUGUUCCUCUUUUAGCACACAUCACACAGUAUUACAAUAAUUAAGAACGUUCAAUCAUCAAAUACAAUCAUUUUCAUAACAAGCUGCUGUGGAGGCAAAACCUUUUUGUUCUUUGCAAUAAAUCUUUUGUUCUUUUAUUCAGAAGUCUGAAGGUACAGGUGACACAGAGUGCAAAGCAGUCUAUGUGUCAAGUCAAACUGGAAGGAGCUGAAAACUCAAAGGAGAAGCAUUUACGCACAGGUCCUACACUCAGCUGGGGCGGAAACAAUCUGCGGCUGCAGGUUUGCCACCGGCGGCAAAAAAAAGGGGACACACGCAGCACUGAGGAGGAACUGAGAAUGAAUGACCGCGUUCAAACAAAGUGUGCAUGAGUUUCUGUUGGGAAAGCAUCAAGAUCUGCAGCAAACUGUGCAGGAUUGCCUUCAUCUCCAAAAUCCGGGUUGCAGCCGGUGAUUGGCAGGAGGAGGAGAGUCUGACGGAGGAGCAGAGGAAUGUUGGCAGCCAUUUAGUCUGAGCUCAACAACGGAGGAAACAGGGAUUCUUCACAAAAGAAAUGUAAACACAGCAAUGGAGUGAGAUGUCGGACCUCUGAGGAGGAUAAGGAUGGUUCAGCAACAACAGCAAAAAGAGAUAAAUCACUGAGUUGUGAGCAAUGUGGCAAGACUUUUAUCACAG